AAAAUCCAAUUUAUGAAACUUUGAAUAAUUAACAUUAAAAUCCAAGUUAGUGCUCCACUAACUUGGAUAUUGGGACCCUUAUCACAGCCUUGGGACAGCAGAUAGCACUCACCAUCAUCUUCUUCAUCAGCCCAUUUUACUUUGCCGUAAUGAAUUCCACCAUGGAAAUCACCAUGGCCACCCCACAUGCAACCUCCAUGGGUGCAUGAUCAAGCCAUCCUUUCCACUUCUUUCCUUCAUUAAAGCUUGCAUACUCACCUUGGGGAAGAUAUUGGCAGCAAGAAAAACAAGAUUUGGUGAGGUUUGAAGGAAGCUUUCAAGUGGUAUUGGAGAUACAGCUGGGGAGCCCAGCAGACCUACGACCGGGUGAGACAUCAGAUCUGCAUAGGAGUCCAGAGUCAUCUGCACUGCAUUGCAUACAUGGUAGGACUCAGGAUAUCUUGUAUUUUGUACUUUUGUUGUAUAUUUGAAAUUUGGCCCUGUAUUUUGUAAUGUUAUGAAAGCUCUAAAGUUUGUAAUAUUUUGUACAUAUUAAAUAACAUGGAGAUUUUCUGUACAUAUUUAAAUUAUUAUGGACUGUGUUAUGGAACUGUUUAAUGACUGUAAAAGUCUAUUGACUUUACUGCGAAA